rnacentral:rRNA from 1 species
AGAACGAACGCUGGCGGCAUGCCUAACACAUGCAAGUCGGACGCUUUCGGGGGUUUCGGCCUCCGAGGGAGUGGCGGACGGGUGAGUAGCGCGUGGGAACCUGCCCCUUUGUGGGGGAUAACCGAGGGAAACUUCGGCUAAUACCGCAUGCGCCCGGGGGUAACUCCGGGGAAAGAUUUAUCGCAGAGGGAGGGGCCCGCGUCGGAUUAGGUAGUUGGUGGGGUAACGGCCUACCAAGCCGGUGAUCCGUAGCUGGUCUGAGAGGAUGAUCAGCCACACUGGGACUGAGACACGGCCCAGACUCCUACGGGAGGCAGCAGUGGGGAAUAUUGGACAAUGGGCGCAAGCCUGAUCCAGCAAUGCCGCGUGAGUGAUGAAGGCCUUAGGGUUGUAAACCUCUUUCAGGAGGGACGAAGCCACUCGGGUUAAUAGCCCAGAGGGUGACGGUACCUCCAGAAGAAGCCCCGGCUAACUACGCGCCAGCAGCCGC